rnacentral:rRNA from 1 species
UACGUAGGGUGCGAGCGUUAAUCGGAAUUACUGGGCGUAAAGCGUGCGCAGGCGGUUCGUGAUGUCUGAUGUGAAAGCCCCGGGCUCAACCUGGGAACUGCAUUGGAAACUAGCGGGCUGGAGUGUGGCAGAGGGGGGGUGGAAUUCCACGUGUAGCAGUGAAAUGCGUAGAGAUGUGGAGGAACACCGAUGGCGAAGGCAGCCCCCCUGGGCUAACACUGACGCUCAUGCACGAAAGCGUGGGGGAGCAAACAGG